rnacentral:lncRNA from 1 species
AACACGAAAUUUAUAGUUAACUAACGAAAAAUGUGCACGCCGCGUUAACCUGCGUUUACUUUAUGUAAUGCUUGGUCUGCACCCAACUGUAUUUUUAGCCCUUACAGACAAUACACAAUUCUAACCAGAGAACAAGAGUGCAUGCUCAUCACUGGGUGUGUAUUUCCAGAUUUAUCUCAUUCUGUAUUAGUAGAGGAUUCUCUUGAAUAUACAUUUCUGUCCUUAUUUUGUAGUUAUCAGAAUAAUUGUUAUAAGGAUAAGUGCUUCUUUAAUCAGAGAUCCAGUAGCACAAAUACAAUGAAAUGAAAAGUUAUUUGAAAGAUAAUUUGCAUUGCAAGGUUAUUGUUUUGAUAAUAUGUACUAAAAUAUCCCUUUUUUUUUAAAUUAAGGUGUGUUCUAUAUUUGGCUUUUGUUAUAAUGUAUAUAGAAUUGAUAAAAAAAAACUACAUAGAAACGUUUCUGCAGCAUAAAAGAUGUUUUUUUUUCUCAAUUUUUUGGUCAGAUAUGUUGUUGUCUCUUUGACACAUUCCCCAUUUCUAUUACUAUUUUAUUUUUAAUUUUGUAAUGUUCAUUGACCUAAUAAAUGUAUUAUUUAACAUGACUGUAUUAUUCAAAGUUUUUUACUUAUCUAGAUUUGUAAGCUCUUGUCUGUGAUACAUUUUUUUAUGCAUUAGAUGAUUGUACAUGUAUGUUUUAUUGUGAAUUUGUUGUUUUAACUUUAUGUACUUCUAUGUAUUAUAUUUUAGAAAUAAGUAUGAUGAUUAAUCUGUUGUAGGCUCAAAUGAAAUUUCCAGGUAAUUUAUAGAGAAUUUUUAAGUUCAGGAGGAAAUCAAAUUACAAGUUAUUAUAAGAUUUGCAUUAAAAAGGAUCUAAAAUACAAAGAGUUCAAAGUCGUAAAUGGAAGAAGGAGUCAAAAGCUAUAGUCAGGGAAAACAUCAAUGCUCAAAGCACUUUACAGAAAAAAGACUACAGAAAAAACAAUCAAAAGUCAGCCAGAAACUGUUUCAUUAAGAAAAAAAUAAGAUCACAGAUCAAUUCUAAGAAUAAGCAACACAAAUUCAACCAAAACCUGGGUUUACUUGGGGGUGUUUAGGAAGGGUUAACACAUCCUUCUCCACUAGUGGCAUAUGACAUAUCCGUCUCUCACAACAUAUAUAGUUUAACAACUUAAUAGACAUCACUUUACUUAUUCACAAUUAUUAAAUUAGUACAACUAUUAUUGGUCCAAUAGCCUGUAUGGCUGUCAGGUAUGUCAUUAUAAAUUUGUGCAUAUUUUUUUUUAGAACUAUACAUCUAAUUGAUAUGAUUUAGCUAAUGUUUGAUGAUUUGUUUAUGAUUUAUACAUGCUUCACAGAUUGAGCAGAAGUUGCAAUAUGUAAAUGUGUUCAUAUAUGUAAUAGAGUUAGUUCCAUGAUACUAAAAUUUUAAAAUGCUGCUCUGAAAUAAACUGUUUGCAAAUUGUUUCAAACUUUUUGUUUAUUUUAGCUAAUUAAAGAUGUGAAGAUAAAUAUCUCAUAUUUUUCAUUACAUGCCACUCUAAAGCACUAGUUUUUAUACGACCACAAACAAUUUUGGGAUUGAUUUUGGGAGUUUUAAGUCCCAACAGUUU